AUACACUUAUUCGGGUGCUUAAAAUGACAAUAUUUGGUGGUCCUUUUAACAAAUUAUAUCCUAUUUUUUUUUAUUUUAUGCUAAAUAGAUAUAUUUCACGAUCAAAAAGGGAGUUGAAGAGAAGAAGCAAAAAUGGGCGAAAAGUGGCAAAAUUCAAGUACAAGGACUAAAUUGGCUAUUUGAUGCAAAGUUUGGAAAUCAAAAUUCAUUAUCUUGAAAAUUAAGGACUUGGAAGCAAACACUAUAAAUGGGCCUCAACUAGACUUCCACGUGGGCUGAAAUUGAAUGGCAAUUGAAAUACAUAUCAUAUAUGGGACUUAAACAAUUCAAGUGGGCUGCUGAUUGAACUUCUUGACCUAGAAGGACCCGCAUGCAUGCAAAGUGAAAUUAAAAAGUCCAAGUGAAAGUGAUUUUCGGUGGCUGCUAGGUUUUAUUUUAUAUAUAUAUACACCAUUUACACGCCGAGGAGGAGGGAGCCGAACUGGGGGAAAAUUGGGACUCCAAUUGGAGUCAAUUACUGAGGCUCAAUAGCACAGAAAUCGAGAGAGAUACAUACGGAAAAGGAGAGGGGGUCUGCCAUAUUAUAUUUUAGACACAAAUUGGAGAAGAAGGAGAGCCAGCUGGGGAGUUCUUCUGUGAAAUAAAAUUGCAGCUGUGCAUUAUAUAAAAGGAGGCAGGCACAGAAAUUGAGGGCAGCUUUGAGACAUGAAGCUGCCGGCAAUUAAUAUAUUUACAUACACACGUAAAGACGGCAGCUUGAGGAGGCAGAAUUGAGAAGUUCCAGCUGGGAUUACAAUUAAAUAUUGGAGGCACUCACAGAAAUUGAAGAGAGGCACACAGAGAAGCUCAGAAAUAGCUGGAAUUUAUCACUUAUACGCAUAGGAAACCGAGGAAGAAUUGGACUCCAAACAUUGAAGCUGUCGGCUGGAGUAAAAUUGAAAUUUCAUUCGCGUUUCGUCAAUUAAUCCCGGUGAUAUCUUCCAUUAUUUUAUCUUGUGUUUCUUCCAUUAUUAUGAAUAGCUAAAUUUAAUUUAGGGCGAACAACGUAAUUUAUUUGGAACCCUUUAUUUCGUUGAUUUAAGAUUCUAGUGCUUUUAUAUCUUAUGCGUUGAUUUUAAUGUUGUGCUUAAUGCUUUUAAUUACUUGAUCACUAAUUAAAUGAUUUGUGAGCGAUGAUUGCGUAGAGAUGCGGAUUAUUUGUUUAGACCACAUGUUAAAAGCCGGUAAAUCGAUAUAACGUGUAGAGAUACCUAUAUUGAUUGCUGCGGUCGUGUGUGAAUUCUUAAAACCAAUGUUUCGUUUAAUUAAAUUUAAUUUGCAUAGAGAUAUGGAAUCAAACUAAUUAAAUAGGCUCAACGAGAACUCGAGAGGGG
rnacentral:lncRNA from 1 species